GUCCAGACUCCUACGGGAGGCAGCAGUGGGGAAUAUUGCACAAUGGGGGAAACCCUGAUGCAGCAACGCCGCGUGAAGGAAGACGGUUUUCGGAUUGUAAACUUCUGUUCUUAGUGAAGAAGAAUGACGGUAGCUAAGGAGCAAGCCACGGCUAACUACGUGCCAGCAGCCGCGGUAAUACGUAGGAUGCGAGCGUUAUCCGGAUUUAUUGGGUUUAAAGGGUGCGCAGGCGGCACGGCAGGCCGGCGGUGAAAUCGCGGGGCUCAACCCCGCCCAGCCGUCGGAACUGCCGGGCUAGAGUGGGCGAGAAGUGCGCGGAAUGCGUGGUGUAGCGGUGAAAUGCAUAGAUAUCACGCAGAACUCCGAUUGCGAAGGCAGCGCACCGGCGCCCUACUGACGCUCAGGCACGAAAGCGUGGGUAUCGAACAGGAUUAGAUACCCCUGUA
rnacentral:rRNA from 1 species